rnacentral:rRNA from 1 species
AUUGAACGCUGGCGGCAGGCCUAACACAUGCAAGUCGAACGAGUGGCGGAAGGGUGAGUAAUGUCUGGGAAACUGCCUGAUGGAGGGGGAUAACUACUGGACAGGGUAGCUAAUACCGCAUUCCAUCAGCUGUGCACAAUUAGGAUUCGCUUGUUGGUGGGGUAACGGCUCACCAAGGCGACGAUCCCUAGCUGGUCGUAGAGGAUGACCAGACACACGGGAACUGAGACACGGUCCAGCCUCCUACGGGCGGCAGCAGUGGGGAAUAUUGCACAAUGGGCUCAAGCCUGAUGCAGCCAUGCCGCGUGUAUGAAGAAGGCCUUCGGGUUGUAAAGUACUUUCAGCGGGGAGGCGUUACCCGAAGAAGAAGCACCGGCUAACUCCGUGCCAGCAGCCGCGGUAAUAC